UGUAAUCAGUGAUCCUGUUUUUGAUCUCAUCAGGGUGGAGAUGCAAUGCAUUGCACACUCAAGAUGUACAUGCUUGAGGGUGUGUCAAGGUGGAAUUUGAACCGGUCAGCACAAGCACUUGGUAUGACUGAGACAUCCUGGACAAAGAUAUAUGACAUACGCUUGAUUUACAACGUGAAUGCGCUCAGCCACAAAGUCUUGGGAAAACCUCUUCUUCCAGAGUUUAUCCCCCCUGGGAAACCUACCGGUAAGAAAAGUCUGCUGUUGAUGAUGAUCAAACCUAUACUGUGACAUGGUAGGCAAUUAUUACACAAUCAUUUUUCACUUGGUGACUACUUAUUGCAGGAGAGCGUAUUGCUGUGUAUCUUCUCGCACAGUCCAACAGAGGAGAUCUUCUGAGACAGCAGGUUGGUGAUGAUGAUGAUUGAUGAUGAGGAUAAUGAUGGCAUCCUGCCAGAUAUCUUCGAUGAAACCUCGAGGAUGAAUGUACCGUCCUCAUGACCUCACAUUGCAGGAAAUUGGAAGCGGUGGCCCCAGGCCCAGGUCGGAUCCCCGGUCCCCAUUUGAGGAGAGUUAUGCCUCUGCAAGACCCGUCCACUCCCCAAUUGAGGAGAGAGAUGCCUCUUCAAGUCCCGUCCACUCCCCAACUGAUGAGAGAGAUGCCACUGCAAGUCCUGUCCACUCCCCAAUCGAUGUCCUCGCCUCAUUUGAAGAGAGUGGGCUCGUUACUCCAGCUCCGAUGACUAAGACAGGGAAGUCAGACAGCUACUGGAGGGACCUCUGCAUAAAAUAUGCCCAGGACCAAUACCGCUUCUCGACUGGCAAACGGCCAGGGGCCAAGAAAUGGAAAAAGGCCUUGGAGAGUAUCGAUGCCUGCCCCCUGCAGAGCCAUAGUGCUAGUAAGGAUCUGUUCGGGAGAAGCCUUCAGUGCUCCUGUGGGUUCCAAAAGGCGAGCGCAUAGCAGUGGAGUAUUUAUUGGCCCAGACCAACAGAGGUGACCUGCUGGCUCCAAAUCAGGUCCCUGAGGUCCCCUCGCAGGUACUUGAGGAGGAGGAUGAGCCAGAUGACACCAUCAGCAUGACUGACAUUCUGUGCCAGUCAGCUGCGAUAGGGGCUGGUGAUCCUCCAGGUGCUGUGGUGGGUGAUGCUGAACCCGGACCCCUCGUCACAGAGGUCAAUAACACUUUCUGUAACGCCUUACUCAAAAACACAAUAUUUAACUGAAGUAAAUGUGGUUACAUUUUAAUAAGAUAAAUGAAUGUAAAAUCAGCAUUGCUCACAUAUUAGAAACAAGAGUGUACAUUUAUUUGCUUGGUUUUUCUUUUUCUCACUUAUCAAUUUUCAGACCAGCCAAUGUGACUCAAGGAGGAUGCGGUUGAUAACCUGGCAGGCUACCUAGUUGGCUUGAAUCGCACCAUCACUGCCUUGUCAUUGAAGGAGGAGGUGGACAUAGUCCAGCUAUAUACAGCUCUCCAUGUCAUGGACAAGAAGCAUUCGAGGUACAAAAUAGUAAUCCCUAUUGACGACUCUAUUGACGACUUUACAUCCUUGUUCACAGUCCAGAUCAUAUCAUGAUGUGGGAGUCAUGUAUAGUUCCACAGACUGUACAUGACUCACGGCCAAGCAGCCCAGGAUCCCGAACACCACAGGGUCAGUGAGUGUGUCUGCCUCAGACUCCCUUUUGGAGUUCCAGGAGCCUGAGAACCGUGAGGGUGCGGCAAAAGUCCGCCAGCGACACAGUUCCAGGACACCUGUACCACGUGCCAUUCCACACACAGAGCUAUUACCAAGCACGAUGCUGCUUCCUCUGGAAACAGCUGUAUGGAGAGCUGGUCCUCUACCUACCAGCCACCCCCAACAAACUACCAGAGCUGGACUUCUUUUCUUCAGGCACCCCCGGAACACUCCCAGGAGUACUCCUCUGCCCAUCAGCUACCCCCAGCUCACACUCAAGGCUGGUCCACUUACCAGGCACCCCUUGCACACUCCCAUGUUUGGUCUUCCACCCAACCACCACCCUCAGCGUCCAACCAGGGCUGGUCUGCCACCCAACCACCACCCUCAGCAUCCUCCCAGGGCUGGUCAUCCACCUCCUACUGUCCUGACCAACCUAGGCUCCCUCACCAAGCACACCCAGAGGCACUAGGUCACCUUAAUCGCCAGCGUGAAUGGCGAUUACACAAGGCAACCCAAAUCCAAGCAAACUGGACACUAUCAGUUACGUGGAAAAUGGUACUGCCCUGCAUCCGGACAGAUGCUUGAGGAGUGGAGAAGCUCCUUGUAAUUACCCCAAUAGACAUUAUUUUUUAUUGUAAUUUUUUUUAUUUCUUAUCAGAAAAUAUGUUAACGUUCACUGUUGAAAAAUAAGUAUAUUUGCUGUUGCAAAAAAUAAUAAUAAUUAGUUGCCGUUGCAACUAUUUGCAAAAAAAAACAAACAGAAUAGUUGCUUAUGCAACUAUUUGCAAAAAUAAAAACAACUACAAAAAUAACAACUCUUGUGGUGUAAUAGUAACACGUCCAUCCUUGGGGUGGGAGACUCCAGGUGCAAAUCCUGGUAAGAGUGUGCAACUUGUUGAAACGAAUACAUCAUUUAAAAAGUAUUAAUAACAUACAAAACAGGGCAAUUUCAAGAUAUUCUAUGUUAAUGGCUUGCAGGUCAAACCAAUAAAUCACUUAUUAAGUAUGUUUAUUCUUCAAAAAGCAUUAUUUUGCAUAUUAAAAGCUAAGAAUUUCACCUGUUGUCAAUCAUUUUCUCCUCUUUUUCUUUUCUCUUCUUCCCUCUAUCCCCCUUUUCGCCCCUUCAAGCUGCCCUUUAUGCCCGUGCUUUGGCCGAGUGGUGGACGAAGGCGAUGGACUAGAAAUCCAUUGGGAUCUUCCCGCGCAGGUUCGAAUCCUGCCGACAACAAAUUACAUUUUUGAAUUUAAAUUAAUUAUUUGAGUGGUUGUAAGCUGUGACAUCGAUAUGUAUGUACCCACUACGUCGCUAUAAUAUAAUCACGGGCCACUUGGUGAACAUUAUCACAACAAUUUCAACAUUGAAAGAUGAGACCUGAACCAAACAGAAUGCUUACAUCUUCGAACAUCACUCCAGCAGCUUAAUGCUGUUCGAAUUAAGGUUAACUGGCUGUGUAAACGUUCUGGUUUACCUGAUUAUCGAUUGAUAACAACGUUUUAUUGCACGUUUUUCCCUCACAGUGGUGCACCGCCCACUUGUCACCACACUGAGGCAGCAAAGCCCCGCACCGCACACUCGUCACCACACGGGAGCAGCACCACGCUACACCGCCUACUGGUCCCCACACGAGGUCAGCACCGCGAUAAACCACCUACUUGUCAGACACAUGGGGGCAGCAAAGCGCUGCAGGUCGUCAACACAGUGGACACGUGUGUUGGGCACCGCGCCAAGCGUGUUUGACAUCACACGGUGGAAGAAAAUGACAUUCAUUUAGCUACCAAAAGCGUCAUCUCAAUGCAUAUAAUUGACUGCCACCGUGUAAUGAAGAACACGUGUUCUUCAUUACAUACUACACACCAGUGGUGUAGUCUACGUGAUACGCAGGUAUACGCCGUAUACCCACUAGGAACGCACCAGUAUUUGCGUAUACCCACUUAAAAAUGUGCACGGAUACGUAUCAAUCGUCUUGUGACAGAUCUUUCACUUCUGUGUUUAUUUUUCGGAAAUAUCGGUUGGGUAUAACUGCAAUAAAAUACUUUAAGCAGGGGAAGUUAUCUCCUACAUUCACCAUUCAUAAAAUUCCCGCUGCGCACUCGCGCUCUGCCCUGUCUCAGUUACGAAGCGCGAAGCUGCCCCUGCAUCUCUGCACGUUAGUUGGCGGGCCAAGCCCCUCCUUCUUGCGUGUGUGUGCGUGUGUGUGUGCGUGCGUGUGCGUGCGUGUCCAGUCCUCCCGUAUUAAUGUGUAAACCACAUAAUAAGUAGUCAACAGAAAACAAUGUUUUAAUCCCACUUCAUAUCUCCUUGUUACUUUUAGAUGAGAACCCCUGGCCAGCCUUUCAGACUGGGUGUCAGGCUAGGGAAUUUAAAAAAAGGCAUCCUUGGUUAGAGUGGAGGGAAAAAAGGUUAUAGGUAAAUGUCAGCCAACAUAUAGUUGGUACACACAAUUGAAAUUGAAAUUGAAAUGUUAAUCACUAUGCAAAUGAGAGUAUAGCUAAUUCAUGGUCAUUUUUAAGGUGCAGUAAUUUCACACUUUUACACAAUUCAAUUACUGUAUGGUAUGUUAGAUAACAACAGUAAGAGCUCAAAUUAGAGCAAUUGAAAGAGUGAAACAUUAGUCUCCUGUCAUCUCCUUCUCAUGCACUGGUUAGCCAUGGAUGUAAACAGUUCAUUCAAUUAUUUUGAGUAGAUUUUGUCCUUGUUUAGCAUGUGCUAUUGCUACUAUAGAUAUACAAAGGACAACUUGUAAUUUUUGUGUUCUAUUUGUUCACACUGUUAUUAAAACAGGUUCUUUCCAUGAUUGUUGAUAAUCGUUAUACUCUUAAAUCAGCGGGUUGUAGACCCCUGCGUUGGUGAGUGUGGUGCGACACCCCAUAAGCGCCACACACGUACACGUACCGGCCGGACGGGUUUGUACGAGGCUGGGAGGGAAUCAUCACAGUAUACCCACUACAAUAAAAUAGACUACACCACUGCUACACACUAGCUGUGUUCGAAAUCGUUCCCUAUCACGGAUAUAGGGGUGCUCGCCAUUUUGUAGUGGUGUUCGAAUUCUCAGUGGUUAAUUUCAUAUAUAGUGCAGUUAAAUUCCCAAAAUGUGAGUGGACAUACGAUGUUCCCUACACGUUACUCCCGUAUACCACAAUGCAAUGCGGUCGUGUUUUUCUGGAGGAGAAAAAGCUGAAUAACCGCGAAAACUAGCUUUCGUUUAGGAAUGUCCACAAUUUAUUUGGGAUUUAACAUAGAAAAUGUAACAUUCAAAAUUAAUUAAAAAAAAUUUGAUCAAGGAAAUGAAACAUUUUACAUCAAUACAACCUCCAGCUUACCUCGUGAGUGCCGUUUGUUUCAAGCAAGCCCCCAGGAACAGUGCACACUUCUGCAAUCCACCAGUGCUCCGCGGCCAUGCCUGGUAUUGCAGCUGUUUAAGCAGGCUGUGGACGGGUCCC
rnacentral:lncRNA from 1 species